UCACCCACAUACCUCCCAGAAUGCCAGUGUGAUAGGAGAGCAGGGCAAGGAUACAGUUCAUGUCUGGACUGUGUGCACAUCCUGAGCAGGUGUUUGUGAUGUCCAGUGUGGGCUGUACCCCCACCAAUAUGUGCAGCUGCUGGCACGUACCACCAAAGUGUGGCACAUCAGCUUUUAUAGACAAUUUGUUAGUUGGAGUUGAAAAUGCAAAGCUACUUCUGAUCUUAGGGUAGCAAACUUGCCCUGUAAGCAACUUUCUAGAUUUCACGUAUGACUGCAUUAGUAGAGUCUAUAAUCUGUUGGCAGUUACGGCUGCUAGAGCUUUGCAAUUUCGUUAAUUUUAUGUGCUAAUAAAUGGCUCAUGGGCAGCUCGCUCUUACCAACCAAGGGCACUAGUACUGACUAAAGAAUCAGGAGACUUAAUGAAAGAGAAUGAAAUGUGGAGAUCUUUUUGUUCAGCUUCAUCUUUUGCUCUUCUAGCUUAGUGCACUUGAGUGAGGUUUUCAAGUUUUUCAUUAUGUUCGUGCUUUUUAGUAAAAACAUACUGAUUCUCAUCAGGCUGGGGGGACAUCGUUUGCCUUGAGAACUGUAGUCAGGUUGUAAGUUGUCGAUACUGCUGCGUGUCAUCCUGCUAGCAGGGCUGAGCUGAUGGCUGUGAAUUGGGCAGCACGCAUCUCGGUGCAGUGCUGCGGAUACCCCGGGGCUCCAGCCUCCAGCUGGUCAGCAUCACACAAUUGCUACUAGUGGGUGGUGAGAAACACCUGUGAGGGGAGCACUCUCAUCCCAGGUGUGCCGGGUGCUGGCAGGCAGGGGCUGGUUGUGUGUGCCAGGCACCAAACAGUAACAGAGGGCAACAAGCCCAGGCUACCUUAACUGCAAACGAGUGACUCAGCUGUUUCUGCAAAGUUUGGAGUUUCAGCAGAAUAUUUCUUUUUCCGCUAUGCUGACAGCUUUUCCACCCACGUAUUGCAAACGUGGCUUUGUGCCAUGGAGGUAUUUUAGGAUUAUAAAGCAUAGUGUAAAUUUUUAGAGUUACAUAUGAAAAAAGGUGCCUUCUGGAUCUCAAAAUAUGUAGGUUGUAUGUAGACUGGGGGAGUAGGGGAGCUCUUUCUAAACCCUAAGGCUUGGAGGAGAUAGAUCCCCAUCUGUCAAUCAUCCGUUUUUAUUUAUUCCACUGAAAACCAGGCAGUGUGUUCAGACGUCCUGUAUCUACAGAAAUAGAAUGCUCUGAAAUCCCCCAGAGUUUUGGCAGAGCUUUUAUUGUGGGCAGUUACUCAUUCACACACCUGGUACGUACUGUUGGUCCUGUUAUUGUAAGGCAUUCCCAAACAGUCCUGCAGGGAAAAUAAACUGCAGAGAGAUAUACAGGAAAUUAACCAUAAUAAAACGCAAAAGGUUUCUUAAUCUGUCAAGUGUAUUGCAGUAUUCAGUGAGUUACUGUACUCAUCUGAAGAUGAAAUUGGAUGGAGUAUGUCUGUGAUGUUACUGCAGCUCAUUGAGACACAUGCAGAUACAGCCAGUGUACUCUAAGCCGGUCCUUUGCCUGUCCUUGCUGUGAGGCUGUGCUCCUUGCUGUCAGUCUGGGACCUCUGCGUGGAUCAGGCAUGGCAGGACUGACUUUGGGGGAGGACAGCCAGGAGCUGGGGUCGUGCUCGGUCAUUUCUGUGCUCAGGCAGCCAGCUGUGGAAUCCAAAGGUUUGCUCUGUUGUCACAAAUUUUUUAUGCCACAAAUGCUGAUGAGGCAGCAAAAGCCGCUAUCAAGGGCCUCACCACAUCAUGGGAAUGGAGAAGAGAAAGAGCAGAAAUCCAGCGAAGUGCUGUUAGUGACCAGUAACCGCCAGGGCAUGGCAGAUGGCUCUUGUGAAGCUGGCAAGGCCACGGCUUCUCUAGACUCUCUGUCAGCUGGAGGGGCAGUAAUUCAUCGGUGAUGUCUGCAGCAGUCCUCAGCUCGCUUUACUUGUUGGAUUUUGGGGUUUGGGUCUCUGUUUUGUUUUGGUCUAUUAUGAAGUUACUUCCAAAGAAAAGAUAUAAUAGAAUAUGACAGCAUGUAUAUUAAGCAUAAAAGCAUUAUGUUCCUCUGGGAGCUGUUGGAGGAGAAGCAGCCGAGCCACUGAAAUGCAACCCCACCACUGCCAUGAGUGCCUGUCGGCAGGUCACAUCUCUGCGGUCAUGCUGGGUGGGUCUUGGGGAACCAAAGGGACAAGUGACUUUUGUCCCUGGCCAGCAGGAAGCCACCAGGCACAGAGACAAGCUCUCCCUGUUUCACCCUCAGGCUGCCAGCGGGCCAGGAAACAAGUCCUCCCAGCACCUCGCGCUGCGUGCUGUCACGCUGUCCACGUCACAACAGGGCAGCCUGGCUCCACCACUGCUCCUUCAGGGUCACAAGGAAGGGAAACAGUCCUGCUCCAUUGCUGGAGCACUGGCUUGGCAGCCUUUAUCCAUAGGCUGAGAAUGGGGAUUCGUGAGCCUGAAAUUCAAAGUGAGACUAGUGGAUGUGAGUGCCAUGGGAACCAGAGCAAGCUGGAGGUUUACACGGAUCCCCGCAGGGUUAGGGCUGCUGAGUUUCAUAUGGUGCUAGAAAAAAACAGUGUCUCUGGAAUAAAAAUCUGUCUGUGUCUCGAGGCAGCUGUGGGCACCUCCAGCCAGCACCUGAUUCACUCGCGAACAGUUACCUGCGAGGCAUCUCAGCUGGCAGACACUUGUCCGAGGCGCCGGAGGCUGCAUGGGCUGUUUUCAGUUUAAUCUAUUUUUAAUGUGGCGCCUUAUUCCAAACUGCUGAGUUCUCACAUUUCCAAGCCGUCGUGGUAAUAGGAUUGUGCAGCCUUAUUGGCUACAGUUUUCCACCCCCAGUGCCAAAAGUUAGGCUCCUAAAUCCAUAUUUAAAUGCCUAAAUGAGGCUGACGAAUCCUGCAGGAGUCAGUAGGAACUGGACGUGGUCUGCACCUUGGAAAAUAACCAGGCUAUUGGGUGUGUGAGCAACGCCUUGCUGUAGGCACCCAGAUGUUGUGUUUUUAUCCAGAAUGGCUGUGUGUGUCAUUGUGAAGGGGGGAGGUGAGAUUAGUGCAAACAGGAGCUUUGUUGGGAAUUUGGAAAUGGGAUACACUGAGAAUCAUAGCAGGUGCCCAUCUCUUGUGUUGGCUUCAUGUCUGCACUACUUCCGUACCCACGAUCUAGCACUGCAUAUUUUUACUCUGCUACCUUCUUCUGCUAUUUCUAUUUGUAGCACCCUGCUAGACUUGUUUCCAAGCCAAUCCAAAAUUCUUCUGAAACUCCCUUUGCUAACAGCAGCAUGAAAGCAGAACUCCACAGUGGCUGCAGCAAUGGCAGGGGUUUGCUUUUAGCUGAGUGGUAUUGGUCACUUCAGCCUUUUGAGUUGAACUGAGAAUGGCAAUGCUAUCUGCCAAGAGAAGCAGCUUGUAAAAGUUGUAUGAUGUUGCUUUUUUCAUGGCAGACCUGAAAAAUUCUGUACAUGAAACUUCCAGCCAACGCUUGAAAUACAUUUCUCUGAUUGCUUUGUGUGAAAGGCUUGUUUUCGUGUUAGUACUGCAGGGUAACACAUAAGACCAUGGAAGUACAAUGCGCCUUCAUCCAGAUGAGGCAGAAUUUAUUUAGCUUGAAAGAGUGUUUUAUUGCAGUAUGGAAGUGUCACUUCAGGUUUUUAUCCUGUUUUCUAUAGAGGAGGAAUAAACUGUUUCCAGAGUCUCACCAGAAGAUAAAAUUCCCGUGGCUAGUCAAUGGCAAUGUGCUGGAGACUUGGAAAGCUUCAGCAAACCACAUCCUUUCACCCAGAGAGCAUGGAUAGAGCGGAGGAACCUCGUUCUGGUGGCUUUGGGUACCCCAUUACCCUGACCCAUCAUAGUGCUAGCUGACUGCUGGCCCAGGAGCACCAGGGAUGUGAGCACUGGGCGCAGUGCUGUGCAGCCUUAAGAGCCACACCCUGAAGCCAAGAGCAGAGCUGAUGUGCUGAGGCUUCCCAAACAGUGUUUGAUGUCUAGAGGACACCCUGAAAAUGCAGCUGUUUCUGCAGUCUCCUUCCAUUCUCAGUUCCCUUGCCAUCUCAUCUGAAAACAGAAACUUCAUGCAUGCUUCAUGCUUGUGUCCUCUGAGGGCUUCAAGGGUCUCCCCGGGACAGAGCCAGCAAUCCUGCUGAAAUAAGAGAGUGCUACUCCCUCCUUCUGGCUGGUAUCAGUCUUCUAAGUCACUAUCAUUUAUUUUAGAGCAUUCACUGGGGAAGUGAGUGACCUGAGUUCAGUGCGUUCCUCAAUCUGCUCAUCUCUCACUUCCCAUGAGACGGUCUAAAAGCCAGCCCCCAGUUAUUCUGGGUGAAAUCCUUUGGCAUGAAACCAUGCCUCCCAGUAAUGGGGUGUUUCUGCUUCCUGUCCCACUGUUGGUCAGCAGGUUGUUUCAGAGUGAAGUGAUCAGGGUUUCGUGUUGUGAGGAACCCAGGGUACAGUUGUCUCACUGGAAGCUGGAUUGCUAGACCCCACUCCUCUGGGCAUUCAGAGAAGACAUCCCUCUGUCUCUGUGUGCCUGUGAAUGAGAAUGGAAGAAUGCAGCUCCUUGGAGAUGCUGUGCUGGGCUGGUGGGGGAGCAGAAAGUUUGCAUGUGAAUCAGAGAUAGACCAGAGAGUGCAGGUGACUGAGGGGGAGGGACCUUGCUGAAAUUGGAAUUCGGUUCCUAAGUCAGGUUUAUGAACCGUCCAGUUUUAGGUAUUUGAUUGGUGGUAACUCCUUGAAGCUUGUCUAUGCUUUUGGAUCUGCAUCCAGGGAUCUUAGUGGAUUAGCCAGGAUCUCUACUGCUGCUCUGAUAAACGUUUCCAGCGUUUAUUAAAUGUGCUCUCUGACGUUCUUUUGUGGAGACAGUAAUUUGACAGUCAUCACGUGAGAAACUCUGAAUUUGCCAUCUGGCCUGGCAGGACUUAGUUCUUCUCACCAUUAAUUAAACUGACGUUACUGCACGCUUUUAUGAUGGUGGUUAUGAUCUGUCCUGCGAUAACACCAGGGCUGGUUCUGAGGCAUGCACAGCACCUUCCACUCGCAUGACGUUUGUGGGUGGUGCAGCCGAGCACCUCUGGACUUCAGUGUCAGCUCUAAUAACUGAGUUUCAGGGCCCCACUCAGGCACCUUCCUCUGGAGCGGGUUCUUCUGGUUCUGAGGGGAUGGUUUCACAAGUAGGAAGACAUAGCUGGGGGGAAAAAGGGGGCAGCUGCUUGGCUGUAAUAGAGUUCUAUAACAUGCCCUGACAGGAGACCUUACUGACCACAGCUUCGCCCUGCUUGGUGAGACCGUGACCAUUAAUGGGAAAGUGGAUUGGCAGCAACAGAUAGAGCAGGGAGCAAAAAGAGAGGAAGGAAGUGAAAUAGGACAACAGCCGAAGACAGCUGCGAAAAGCAGGCAGGUACAUCAUGGUGGCGACUGGAGUGUGGAAGAAGGAAACUAAGCUUCUUUGGUGAUGAGGCAAGGUGUCUGUAUCCUAUCUGAAAUGGACACGUGUGGCGGUGCCCAGCAACUUAACAUGUUUGUAAUCCCCCUUCAGACCCAGCUCCAGGUGCUGGAUGGCAGAGUGUUUCCUGUCUUCGGUGGUCUCCAAACUGUGACUUGGCAAAUGAAACUGGUAGGUUUGAAAAGAAUGCCGGAGUACGAGGCUUGGGAGAAGUCAUUCCCAGAACUAACUCUUGCCAUUUUUCUCUUCCCUGUCAGAGCCUUGAAUGCUCAACUGCUCAGAGUUAACUCAGCAGCUUCAAGAGAUUCAAUAAUAUUUGUUUUUACCCAAAUCCCUCGAAGUCUGAGGGAAUGGAGACAGAAUCAUUUUACUGAGAUGAAAAGCCAAGAAAAGUAAAUCAUCCUUGGGUCAGGGUGAGCUCUCAUUUGAAGAGGCCACAGAUGGCAGAGAUGUUCAUGAAUCAGCAGUUUCACAGACCUCUGCCCAUUCAGGGAGUAAUGCGUGUAAACAAACAUGAAAAUGGCACAGAGCCGCAGAGCUUUCCAGAUCCUUCCUGUUCCCUCCAUGCAGUCGAGGGGGCCCUCCUCAGAAGAACCAGAUAGAAGAAAAGAGCUGCUGCCCUUGACUGUGGGCUUGUCCCAGGAUGGUCAUCCUAUACCUGCUUCAGCUGUGUGAGAGCCAAAGGCUAGAGUGACAGCGGGGUGUCCCCUCUUCUCCCAUAGUGCAGCCAGGUAUGCUCUUGAGGACAGGAGGCAGCUGCUGACUGGCCUGGUGGCAGGCGUUUGGAGUUAUCUGAGAUGGAGGGAAGGAAGGAGAGGUGAGGUGAGGACGUGAGCUAUUUCACCAUUGCACUGCUGCAGGUGCAGGACAGCUCCUGUACAUGUGGGCUUUGGGAGGUGGGCCUGCCCCUGGUGUGCUCCUGCUCUUUGAUAUGUGCCCUGGAUCCACGCGCCGACGAGGCUGGGACCUUGGAAGCCCCACAGAGCUCUAGCCUGUCUGGUGUUAGGGACAUUCUUCCCGCAAUUAUCUGAUGUUUGUCAAAUGUUGUGCCAGAAAAUGCAACUAGAGGGCUGUGCUGAGAGCCCCCACUUUGGUUGUAUUCUAGGGCCUGCUGGCCAAGAGAUGCAGUGCUACUUCCAUGCUGCCCAAGUGUCAGCCCGGGUAGUGCUUCUACAAGAAGAUAACAUGUAAGUGAUGAGAACUGGCCAAGUCAGUGACUGUGCCUGAAUCGUAGUUGAGACUUUGUCAUGGUUUGAACCAUGACAAGCUUUUUGUGAAUAGUCUGUUUGGGAUGAAACACAGCCUGAAUCUUCAAACAGUUAUGUGUGAUGACAGCUGUGAGACUUCUGUUGAAGUCGCUAGGCAUCACACAACCAUAAACUUCGGAGUGUGCUUCUGCUGAGGAGAUGCUGCUACUGAGGCUCUGAGACGAAGGGAAGUGAGAGGAAAAUGGACUCUGCCGUUCUCCCAGGAGCAGCACCUCACGACGCGCCAAACCUAGCAAUUGUAUGUGAGGAGCAAUCAGUGGGUGUCACAGGAGAUGUACAGGGACAUCUAAGGCAUUGGGAUUUAUUAUCAGUAAACCAUGUACUUCAAGUUCACUGUGAAGUUGGAGAACAUCUAACUGUGUAAAUGAUCUGAGGGAAUUGGAUGAAGUGAAUUUUGUGACUGUGAAGUUAGACAAUUAUCAGCCAUGUUUCCAGACAAUAGAGAAGAUCCUGACAAAGACAUUUCCUGAGAAGUAACUAACUCAUAUAGUAAUGAAUAGUCAAGAAAGCAGCUGUUUUUAAAAAACAUACAUCCACCAAAUGAUUACGGGUUGGUAUGCUUAAGGAGUGAAGAAAUGUGCAAAUUUUUUGGUGUUGCUCUUCUAAGGGUUUCUUGUGCUGGUGUCCAGACUCUGGCAACAUUAUCUUAACCUACUUUGACUGUCAGUGGUAGAAGGUAGUAGCUGGGGGUGGCCGAGUGCGCAGUGAGAACUGGCACUGCGCAGUGACAGAGCAGACGUGCUGGGGGUGGCUGUGAUCUGGGACCCAGCUGGGGGCAAGCGCCUGGAAGAGGAUGUUUCUGACUGGUGCUACCUAGAGAAAAAGCAGCCUGCUGAUGAGAUCACCUUAGGGCAUCAGGGUUUAGAAAGGGGUAGAAGAAUGUGGGACAGAAAUGAGCAGUACAGAGCAAUGACAUGCUUGAUGAGAAGCCAGCCUUACUGAGUGAGCACAGUCACAGAAUGAAAAGCUGCCCAUUGGGCAGAUACCAGUGAUCAUAGCAUAAGCAGGAAAAUGGCAUCAAUCUAGACACAGUGCUUUUUGUGACUCUUAAGGCAUUGAUGGAUGAAGACUCAGUGAAGAGAAGCUUCCUUUUUCUUAUGUUUUGACAUCUUUCAGGCUUAAACAUGAACUAACUACCAUUAUCCUAAUUUUACAGAUGGGGACAGACAGGUUAUGUGACAUGCUCCAGGUCACAUGAGCAGUGUGUGUCAGAGUGAGAAACAGCACCUGGAUCUCUCAAUUGUGAAGCUGUUGCUCUUGGCGCUGCGUCAUCCCGACUGCAAACAAAACACUGAGGUUGACUUUGCCUGUGUCCUUAUGCCUACAAAUGUGCCCACCUGCCAGCUUUAGAGCCAGCAGUCCACACCAUGUAGCCAAGGCAAGCCUGAUGCUUCUGCACAACAUCCAAAACUGUCAGUGUUGGGACCAGAGAGACUAAUAGGAAAAUUUAAGCUUUUUAAGUCUGCAGACACCCCAGCACAACAGCUCCUCUGGAAGGCGUGCUGUGGACCAUCCAUGAAGUCUGUACCACUCUAGUUUGUUUUAGACAGGAGACAAUGUUACAGGCUAUUUUAAAACCAAAGUAAGUGACAUCCACAACAUCCCUAACUUGUUUAUCCAGCACGUCAUUUCAAGCACAGAAGACAACCAUGUUGGCCAGAGAUAAUAUCACAAGGUGUGGUGCCCUGAUGGGAGCCUAGCAAGAAAGUAACACUCAUUCACCCACCCACCUUUGGCAGAUUGUCUGAGGGUCCCUCAUUGGCUUCGUGACGGAAAGUGGUUGAUUCACCUCCACCCAGCAGUAAUUAGGUGUUGCUGCCUAUGGAAGUUCCCAUGUUUGGCAUCGGACUGAUUAAAGCUGUUCUCCUUUGCCCUGUCUGUCAGACCGUCUAUAAUGCCAAUCCCCCUCCUGCUUGCGAGCUCCCUUCUGGAAAGACCAAGUGAGCUUUUUCUUAAGGUCUUCAUCGGAAAAGGAUUGCAUGGGUUGAAAACCAAAGCACACGCUGACUGCUGCUUUAGUCAGUGGGAGCACUCGUGAACAAGUUGGUUCCUUUCCCAGAGUUGUUCUUAAAGGACAUCCCACAGAAAUCUGCUCUCAGCCAGUGCCUGCAGAUGUAGCCCUCUCCCACUUGCAUGAAUGCUGUGCACUUACCUCUCCUGCACCCCGUUAAUGGAUCGAUUACUGGACUGAGCCCAGCUGUGUGAUGGUGCUGGCACACUCAGCAGGAAGCAGCAGUUCUUGCUUUGAGCAUCAGCCAUCACAGAGGACCUGAGCAAUGAACUGAGUGUGUAGAUUUAUUUGCAGGGUGAGGGAUGAGUAAGGUAGGCGCCUUUGACACAUGGAUGGACUGGGAGAAGGGGCUUUGCUGGAUGCCUUAUGACUGCCCGCGGGAGACAGCUGGAAAAGGUCUUCUGUUUCCACCACAUGGUAAGAGCAUCACCUCAGGAGUGUCCCUGCUGCUGCCCACACCCAGCAAAGCCUUGGGCCCAGCCUGGCUCAGAGCUCUGCUCCCAAACUCACAGUGCAAGCAAUGUCACACAGACUGCAGUCCUCAGUGUGACAUCGGCACUGCUGGGCACCAUGGGUUAGGCAUGAGCUUUUUCACCCUGCCAAAGGUGCCUUUGGGGUCUUCAACCCCGGUGACAGCAGGUGAAGGCUGACAGCGCCUGCUGCUGUUCAGCUGGAGGGAGCUGAUGGUGCCAGGCUGCAGGGGCAGCUGGGUGACACCACGUAAAGAGCAGCAAGUUGCUGGCCAUCUCAGCAGAGGGGGGAGGGAGGCCAUGACCUGCUGCUCCCCAUUGCAGGCACAGCCUUGGUGGCAAAAUUUGGCUGCAGCAGAUGAGAGAUAAGCCCUGCGUGUAAUCACACCACACAGCCUCCAGGAGAGAAGCAAAGGCUGCAUUCUGCUGUAGGCAAAAUGGCACCCAGCCCCUACCUGCGCAGUUGUCAUUGCCAAGGAGACACCAGGUGAACUCAGGAAAAGUGAAACAUCGUGAGAAAAACUGGGGAAUGAACCAGAGAGACAGAAUCUUACAAUAACACCAAUGUAAACACAGGCCUAGUUUUUAUCUUGUGCAGAGAGAUUGUUUUUGAGAACAAAUGCAGAGUGAAAUGAAUUCAUAGACCUCUGUACCAGGUGCAAUCAUUAGUCAGUAAAUGAAUUACACGUAAUUAUCUGCUUUGUAUUUAAUUCACUUGGCUUCCAGUUUCUUACUCUUCGUACAGUGAAACUCUCUAUCUCUCUCACACAAACACACUCUCCAUGGGCAAGGAGGUUUUGGAGGGCUGCCAUCAUCCUGACUCAUGAAUCAGACUCCAUGAUUUGAAUGAUAUUUAUCUAAGCCUGCAAACAAAGAAGAUGGCUAUGUGUCCAAUGAGAGAAUAAUUAUUGUUAUUAUGUUUAUAGAGCAACAAAGUUGGGAGUUAGGACCCCGGGGGAAAGGUGGCAGGAAGGGCGAGCUGGGCAGAGGCAGGAGGCUGUAGGCAGUGUUUCAGUGCAGGGAUGUGCCAGGGCCUCAGCAGGGCUCCCCGCUUCUGAGUCACCUCUGCCAGGCAUCGCUCAGCGGCCACGGCAGGCAGUGAGGUGAUGGCUGCUUCCGUGGGAUGCUGCCAGGGCUUUGGCAGCGGCUGAAAACUUGGGGUUGGCUCAGAGCAUCCUGCACAGGUCCAUCACCAAGGGGACAGAGGACACGGAUAUGCCUGUGUGGCACAUCUAGGAAGGGAAAGAAACCUAUAACAGGGAAAAGUGUCCUUUGCAGCUAGCGCAGCUGCUGCCACAGCAGGUUGCUGAGACGCAAAAAUGUCCCUUGGCAUGGCAGCGGGCUCACCUUGCUUUGUGACUUCAGUGCGAGCGUGGGCACAGGAGGACUGCUCAUUGCAUGGGAGAGCUCUGGGUGCUGUGACAGUGCCAUGUGUGAGCGAGGUCAGUGCUCUGUGCAUCUGUGGCAGUGCUGGAGGAGACUGCCUGUUGGGGCCAUCUGUGGCAGGCAGUAAGCUUGGGAGAAAGGUAACUUGAAUCCCAUAUUUCUAAAAUGCCACUAAAGCUUCAUCAUGCCCUGUGACACCCGCUGAGGUUACAGGGACCCACCCCUGCCAGGAAGGGCAUCUGAUGUGUGUGUGCCUGCACAAAGCUCACUCCUCUCUGUUGGCCCAUGGAGCAGGCCUGGUCCCACCUGUGUUCACAGCUGAUCACAGGUGAUGGUGACGGGGCUCUCCUUCAGCUUGGCACCACCAAGCAGCCCCUGCCCAGCACAGCCAUGGCUCUUUCUGCAGAGCCCAGAGAUGAAUACCAGACUGGAAGUGCCUUGGUUUGUGAUUAAGUGCCAGCCAUCAUAAAGGCAAGUAGCCCUUCUGUUGAGAGAAUCAGAAAUCAAAGUACUGUUUACCUCUGUUAACACAGCUUUAGAUGGUAAAGGUGGAGGCACCUUGCAGCCAUCUCUAAUCCCCUUUAAGUUACAAUACAAAGUCAGGGAGACAGCAGCACAGACAGCCAGGUGAGAACACCCAGCAAGGCAGCAAAUGUAGAACAAAUCCUACAUGGGGAACGGGCCAUCCUGCUCUUGUUCUGCAAGUAUUGGUGUUGAAAGCUUCCAAAUUUCGCCCCGGUUAUUGAGAAGGGGAUGAAACCAGUAACUACUUGAUAAUCAGUGCUGCAAAAAAUGCCACUAAAAAUGGAAACUAACUCAAUGCUACUCUGAUCAAACCACUUGUGGAAACCAUCUUGCUGGAUGUUUUAACUGAUAAAUAAAUUCAUGUUAAUAUCCCAGGAAGAAACACGGAAAGGCUUUGACCAAUGAAGUACUGCCAGUGCAAUGGUAUGAAACGAUCCUCUGGAUCACAGAGCAUUCCUUGGGGGACAUGUCUUGCAAGCGCUGGCUUUUUUAAACUGCAGUAAAUCUUCCUUACUUAAUUCCCUUUUCAGAAUAACUUAAAUUUUCUGGAGUAGGUUGAUAGAAAAUAUCUGUGUGGUAACAUUAACAGCCCAGAGGGAAAAAAAAAGUUUUUAUAGGAGAGCAAUCAAAAUAUUGCUGAGACAGGACUGGCCACGAGAGGAGAAACAGUGGUUUCUGGACUUUUGGUAAAGCCCAGGAGUCCUGCACCAGGACUUCCUCCAUCUCACAGAACUGCUGCAUGGCCCUGGGAACGGCUCCCAAAAUAUGUUUGUUUAUCAGUUGGCCUAGUACAAAUAUUACUGCUCCCCACACAUUUUGUCUACAAAGCAUCUGAAUGCCCUUGAGUGGAGGAGGUGAAGGAGGAGGAGAAAUAGUCCAGCACUGGUCUCCGUAAAUAACACUGCAUAGGCAGCAGUUCCUGCAUCUCUCACCCUCUCUCACUGAUGCACAAAGGCUUUAUAUUAUUGCUAGGAGGAAAACAUCAGGCAAUACCCAGCCUGAGAUGGCAAGCAGUCCCGCUGCUUAUGGUCUCAGAGAAAUAAUGCCAUGAUACACGAGAACAACAACGCCACAAAUCCUUCUUUCUGAGCAGGUUGACAGAAAGCAGCAGUGUGAGGCCAUAGCUGCUGCUUCGUCACAGACACCACAUCCAGCACACCUGCUCCUGCACACCUUGGGGCUGUUGCUGGACAUAGUACGCCUUCAACUUUUCUUAACAUUGCAACACAGAUGGCAGCUGGCUUUGUACAUCCGAACACAGUCGUACUGUCGUGCACCACAAGACCACAGAGCAGCCAUGUUCCUCUGUCAAACCCAAGGAGGUUUCUGAAAAACAUCACUCUGCAGAUGGCAGAGUGCAGCCGUGGGGCCAGCAGUGGCCUAAACAUUGCACAGUGUGGGCAAAGCAAGUUCAGGGCUGCCUACAGCUGCCUGCAGAGACGGGCUUUUUCAGCACGCUAUAUGCACUGACCAUCAGGUCCCUUCUCAGUGUGAGUACUGUCUAUUAGGGAUCGCUAAGGAAAUAGAAAUUUCAAAUUCCUAGAGGAAUUUUUCCCAAUUCACAAGCUGUUCAAUGUUAACAAAGUUACACAUUGGAGUCAGUGACAAAAGAGCACAGGUUCAGCAGCAGAGAUGUGAGAUAAGCCCUACAGCUGCUGGACUUGUUGAGUUACUCCAGUGAAGCCAGACAAGUAAUUUACAGAGUAUUUUAAUAGUCUGUACUUGUGGGGAUUGUACUAAUUUUUCACGAAGAUACUGAAGUAAUUUACAAUAGCAAUAUUGUUUACCAGCCCAGGGAAGGUUGCAUCACAGAGCCAUGUGUGCUUUGGAUGGCUUAGAAGGGGAUGGAGCGAAGGAGUGGAAAGAACCACAUCCUUCUCUUGAUCACAAAUCACUCAUGUUUGUACCUGAAAGACCAUAAAUGUGUCUGUUUGCAGUGUCCUGGCACACAGCCUGGGAACUUCCAUUAAAAGAUGUAGCUUCACCGCACUUCAGCUCCCAGCGCCAGACAUGGCAUCUUCAGCGUGCAGAGAAAAGCUUUGACAUUGUGACUGUGGCAAAAAAAAAAAAAGCCUGAUUAAUCUGGCAGUAGAGUUCACCAUUGCUUUCCCAUAGGGCUGCCGGGGUAUUUCUCCUCUGACCUUGCAGCACACCCUGGCUCCCAGCUGUUACAUUAUUCCAUUUUGUCCUGUUGCACCAGCCUCGCUUUAGGACAAAUACAUGAAUUUGUGUUUUGGUGAUGUGAGGCAAUCUAACACUGACCUUGUGUGGUGCUUCACACAGACGUAACGCAUCCUCUGAAGCCAGGGGGAGCAUGACUUAACAGCUAAUGGCAGGGCAGGUCAUGUCCUCCACGUCCCGGGCACAGGAGGCACCUGUUUGCUCACAGCCCGACCUUCGCAACCUCCUGUCUGCAGUGAAGGAGUCAGGACCUGGGCUCCCACUGCAGUGGGACCAGGCUCUCUGAGGUCGUACAAUCCCCCAGCACCGCUCAUGGGCACAGCUGUGAAAUCGAAGCUUUUCUGAAGAACCCAACUCCUGCUCGUGCUUUCUGCUAUCCCGUGCCAAAGGAAUGCCAACUAAGCCCAUUUACAAUUGUUUUGCUUGACAUAUGGGUCCCAGAUACGGAGAAAUUGCCAAAAGAAGUUCCUUUCUGUUGGGUGUGGGUAUACGCUGUUGAGCUUGGCUCUACAGGAGGGAAAGGACAAAAGGACAACCAAAGAGAAGAGAAAAGCUGGGCUGGGAGGGAGAGGCAGAGGAAGAUUUUGCGUGCGCCUGGGAAGGAAACAAUGGGACAAGGGGAAGGAAUUAAAAGAACCACAUCCUUCUCUGCAUCACACCCCUGCAGUUUGAGUUACUCAUGCUGGACCAACCCAUAGUGCCUAACAUCGCUCCCCUGUGAAUGCUGCGGUAAGCUCUGUCCUGUCAGAUGUGCCCAUGUACCAUGAGGGGAGCAGCACUCAUGGCACAGCAGAUCAAGCCUCUCUCCUUCACAAUGACAGUCUGACAUGAGUUCAUUCUCAUUAGCCCAUCCCAAAUGCGUGCACCUAAUCCAGCCCCACAAUCUGGAACAUAAGCCAAAGCAUGUUCCUCCCUCCCCUCCACCUCCGACCCCAUGGCCAAGCCAAGCCUGACCCCACAGACAAGCUCCUCAAAGCUCUCAGCAGAUCUUCCAGCUGGGAUGUCCUUCUCACCCACUCCACUGCCCUGCAGCUCCUCUUAGGGAAGAGGUACACAAGGGAGGGACAAAGAGAAAGUGGUAUUUUCUUGUACCCUCUUAUUGCUCUCUCAGCCCUGCCUGCUCCUCAAAGCUCAACACUCUGCUCAUGAACUGCACAUCUAAUUAGUGACGAUCUCGGUGUUUUUUCAUCAUUCCUAUAUUCCAUAAUACAGUCAUACUAUUUGCAACUUAAAUGCAACUACAAUUGCUGCUUAAGUACAGUUAUCACUUACAGAAGCAGUGCAAAGUAAAGGGGGUAAUGUCAAACCUGCCUCCCAGAUGGACCCAUCAAUAUAGAGAGAACAACAAGGAUUAUCAGCAGCACCAUCAGCAUUUGAAUGUCCAGUAUCAAGUCUUUUGUUCUGAACAACCCAGAAAUAGGCCUCAAUUUGCCAUUUCCUUCAAUUAAAGGAUAUCUGAAAGUGAAAGGCUCCAGCCCUCUUCUCAUUUCUGUGUCCCCCCUUUGGACCUGCUCUAACAGCUGUGUCUCCUGAGGCACAUAAUUCAUCACAGAUCUCCUGGACACUGAGCCACUGACCACAGCUCCCCGGAUGUGGCCAUCCAGUCAAUUCCUUUUCCAAGAAACAGUCCAUUCAAACCCCUGUCUCCAAUACAGAGACAAGGACAUUAUGGGGCCGUGUCUAAAGCCUUACAGAAGUUCCUGAAGACGACAUGAAUUGCUGCUCCCCUUUUUGGAGAGAGAACUGUACAUGCUUCCAACUCCAGCUAUUCUAUGAUUCUCUGCCCAAUUUUCCUACCUCCAGAGACUGCAGAGGAGUUUUAUUCCUCACUCAUGGCACGCACAAAAGCCAUGGAUUGAUAUUUUAGGAUAAGCCUAAGCCAAGCUGAAGCCACCAUUCUCUCAGCUCUCAAAGUCCUACGGCUCCGAGAUCACACCUUAAUAAAUAGCACUGCUACUUCAAGAGCUUUUGUUGCUGAAAACAGGACCAGUAGAAGGGGACAGGUUACACACUUGGAAGCAUGCAGAGUCCUUCAGGAUUUAUUUGUUCACUCCAGAGAGAAAGUGAGUCAUGAGAAACCUUAAGGUGGAGCGCUCAAAACAAGGAGUGUAUAAAUGAUUAGCAAGGGAAGGUCAGCACCAGUCCUUCAAGUCUGAGCAUGUCCCACUGUCGAAGGUGCAUAAAUAAUAGCAGCUGGAUGCUUGUGGCUGUAGGAGAACGGCUAUCGCACUUCCAGUCCCUUGCACGACUCUGGCUCUUAUAAUCUGUGAAGCUGAUCUCAGUUUUCUUAUAAAAAUAAAGUGGCUGAUAAAUGGAAUUCAAUCAACAGAUCUAGUUUCAAGACAAAACUGCAUGCUUGACAAAAGCCAAGAUUAAAAAAUUCUAAAAAAGUUUUUACUAUGUGGAGAUUCAAACACAGUGACAGGAGAUGGACCUGAGUUCCCCUUGCUCUCAUGCAGCAAUACAAUUAAUCAUCUUGACAGAUAAAAUCCGAUUGCAAAACCUGCAUUAGCACAUUAAUGCAAAUGAAUGAAAAAACAUUCUCCUUUCUUCAGACCACAGGCUGAAUUUAAAGCAUUUGCAGAGAAGAAAAUGAUCAGUCACCUCCAGUGAGCAUAAGUGGUGGUGAUUCACUCAGAGAUAUCUGACAAGGCCACUGGCAUCUUUUGUUUUUUCCUAAGACAAACUCUUACCUUACAGAAACGCUCUGUGGGAUACACACAAACACUGAAUAUGUUAUCUCUAGAUCCACUGAUACAAUGCGGCACUGUAUGACGCAGCACCUAACUACUGAGUGCAGCUGAAAGCUUGGAGGAGCUGGUACUUUCACCACUAACACCUGUACAUCACAAUGGGGGAAUCCUGGCCAGUUUUGUAUUUUAUUAUCCAACUGUGACAGAAUCUCUUAUGGAGAUUAUGAGCACCUUUUCCACUGAGCUUUUCUUCAGAUCCUCUCUAUGAAGUUGCUAACCAAGGAUUGAAGUUGGACAGGUGAGCUGCAGCAUAGGGACUGGCCAAGUCCUGAGUGGUGCAGAGCAACAGAAGCUUCUAUGGAGUAUAAAGGUAUAAAACCACAUACCUUAAUCUGGUCUUGUGCUAAAACACAGAGGUAACUUCACAGACAUCUGCAUCAGGUGCACAGCAUCAGGUGAAAAAGUAGUAUUUUUUACCUUAUUUCUAUGUAGAAAUUCAAGAGCACAACCCUACCAUAACCCAGCAGUUAGAAGCAAUGCCAAGAAAAGCUGUCUAUUUACAAACAGACAACAUGGUUACCAGCCUGUCCUUCCUCAUGGAACUUAUCUUGUUCAUUUUGCUUUCACCCGUAUUCUAAGACCCUUUGACCCUACAUGCAGGUAGAUACUUGGCUGAAAGUAAAGGAUGUGACAAAGAGAAAAGAGACUGCAGAGAUGUAACCGAACCCAGCAGCCUGUGGGGAUCAAGGAGGGCCCCGCACUGUGGGAUGGAGACACCAGCUCGAACAGGGUAGAAAUGAACAUGGACGUGUUUGUACUGCAUGAAGCCAUGUACAAAACCUGAAUGCUGACCAGUGUCUCCUCAGCCCUCCUUUGCCCCCAGGCAGAGGAUGGCAGGACAGGGGACACUCCUGCUUUUCAACUCCUGAAACAGAGGACGAGAAGGAUGUAGUUCCCAUGUGUUCAGUAUCUCUGGGCCUGAGUCAAAACCACAGCUGUCCAUCUAGCUUUCCCACUGACUUCUGUGGGGCUGGG